UGCCCGUUGUACCGGACUCGAAACUUAACCUGAAUGUCAUGCUGCGUGCGGGCGUUGUACAACACGGUAUAAGAACAAUGUCGACACUGCGUUUGGCGUUGGUACAACUGGCUGUCGGUGACGACAAAGUGGCGAACAUUUCGAGAGCCGUUUCUUUCAUCGAACGCGCAAAACAACAGGAACGAGCCGAUAUCGUGACACUUCCUGAAUGUUUCAAUUCGCCUUAUGGAACAUCUCACUUUGCGAAAUAUGCCGAGAGCAUCCCCGACGGCGAGACAAGCGUGGCAUUGUCCGAGGCAGCGAGAAAAAACAAUAUUUACGUGAUCGGUGGUACGAUACCGGAAAGAGAGAAUGACAAGUUAUACAAUACCUGCACUAUAUGGGCGCCCGAUGGAAAGCUUGUGACCAAGCAUAGAAAGAUGCAUUUGUUCGAUAUCGAUAUUAAGGGAAAAAUGACUUUUCGCGAGAGCGACUCGCUGUCGGCUGGCAAUUCUCUCACUAUUUUUGAAGCGAAAGGUUGCAAAAUCGGCAUCGGCAUUUGCUAUGAUAUCCGGUUCGAGGAAAUGGCACGACUGUAUAGAAAUAAAGGUUGUCAAAUGUUGAUAUAUCCGGCGGCAUUCAACAUGACCACUGGCCCGCUACAUUGGUCGUUGCUACAGCGUGCCAGAGCAAACGACAAUCAAUUAUACGUAGCCUGCAUAUCACCGGCACGUGGCCCACCAUCUGGGUACGUUGCUUGGGGGCAUACCCAGUUAACCAAUCCUUGGGGAGAAAUACUUUGUGAACUGGAUGCUGGCGAGGACAUGGUCGUCUCGGAUAUAGAUUUGAAAGUUGUGGAAGAGGUCAGGGCGCAAAUUCCGACAUUCCAUCAACGUCGCAUAGAUCUAUACGACACUAUUUGGAAAAAGGAAGAUUGAGAAGACGUUAGGCACGGUUCAUGGAGCAUUAAGCAAUUUCGCACGGCGAUGAACCAUGAGCGUUAAGCUCGAGUGGAAUUUGGACGCGCCUUUGAUCGUGAACGAUUAUUCGUGAAUAUACCCUGUGCGGUAUGUGGGUCUUAUUGUUAACUAAAUUCACAAAGCCAGCUCUUUUUGCGCCGCUCUCUGUGACUCUUCGCUUUUCGCGCAAUCAAAAAGAUUAAUUAAACGGUCUCAUUAAUAUUAACAAUGAAAUAUUAUUAUAAUAUUUAUACAGAACAACGGAGCUCUAAAUACUAUCAAAAAGAAUAACAAUCUUCUUUGCAAUAUUUUUUUUUCCAUAUUGCGAAUAGAGUUCUCGCGUCAUUAUACAGAUGUAACAUUUAUGUGUUACAUAUUAAUCAAUAUAUAAUUAUUAAUUUAUUAUUCUUUUUCUUGCUCUUUUUCCGAAACUUCUAAAAGAUCAUCUGCUUUCGUCGGAGGUGACGUUAAUCGAAACCUCCGAGAUUCGCGAAGCGAUUAGCACCAUCCAAGGGCGAGAAUAGUAAUUAAACGCCGUAAAAAUAUAUAAUAUAUCACAGGCAAGCAUACGUAUGCAAAUACCGUGUCGCAAUACUGGAAAUUCGCGAAUGUUGUUAAUAUACAAUGUCACUUCUCUCAACGAGGAGUGACUUAGCACCAUGUUUUUAUUCUCGCAUUUCUUGAUGAUAAAAAAGAAGAAAGAACUAAGCACAAGCACGUUUGUUGUAUACAUUACACUAUUCGUGUGGCCCCAUGUUGCUCGGAUUUAUCGCGGCGGUGUCGAUUUUUUAGCAUCAUUUCGCGUUUUGUUCAGAUCGGUGAAUCUUGCAAAAUCAACGGGCUCGAGAAAGCUAAAUGCCAAUUGUUUGAUUAUUUUGAAUAUUAAAGUGCUCGAGAUAAUAAUUUAAUUAAUUGCAGCGCGUUCAUCGAUUCAAUUAAUUGCGUGAUAUUGCGCGUCGAAAAUAAUUAUAAUUAACUGACUUGUUAUCGCAUGAAAAUCCAGAUGUUGAUUAUAAUUACUGCCGCUUUGAAAUCGUCACGCGACUAAUAAUAGUUAAUUGCUGGUCGAGUUUAUUAGUACAACAAUCAUCGAUAUCCUGUAAUGUGGAAGUAAAUAGAAGAGUAUUGUCGAGAUGCGAAAUAUUGAAACUUUACCGAUGAGAGUCACACAACGAUAUUUAUGCGUUCUUGUUUCGAGAUGAAAGCUAUGAAACGCGCGUAAAAUAAAGAUUUGCACGAGUGAGCGAUAGGGGGAAAGAGAGAACAACAGUACGAGAUUUUCAUUGAUAAGCAUAUUAGCACAUGUCUGUCUCUUCAAGUUUUCUGCGCAUUAAUUUAUCUUCAACAUCCGAGCACUAGCCGUAUACACGCACACCCAAAUAGCACACAAAUGUACGUUUCCGAGUGAAGCCGAAACGACGGACCGACGGACAUUACAUUAUCACACAUGCUCCCGAACGAUUUUAUGAUGCAUUUUAAUCACAGAGGCGGCGAGAGACGUCUCUUCAAAAAAGCGCUCGUUCGCCGGCGAAUCCGGCGCAAAGCGAAGCGAGCGAACGAACGAACGAACGGACGAACGAACGAACGAACGAACGAACGAACGGUAAAAUCGAUUCAACUGGAGAUUGAAAACGAGUCUCGUUAACAAAGGGGAUAUCACACACUCGACAGAGCUGCCCGUCUCGCUCGUCGACGAGAGACUUGUGUGCCCGCGCACUAAUCUCGCAGCCUGACACGUUUGCUAUCACACAUUCGUGCCUCGCAACAAUGGAAAAAUAAAAAUUUCUGAUCACGCGCACGCACGCGCGAGGUUUCGAUCGGUUUCAGUCUGCUUCUUAAUCGUCUAUCAAGUGCGAGUAUCAAUCGCUCACGAGGAUCAAAUUUCCGAAGAAAGACUUGCAAGAAGCGUGUUCUUCGCCACUUCUCGCGAUGCAAUCCGCUCUCGAGAAUUGGUAAGCCGGCUAAACCAAGAAAACUGAUCGAGUUGAGCAAUGAAUUAAUUCGAAUGAUGAUUUUAUGUGUAUUAUUGCGCGUUCGAUGACGAUAAAUUAUUGCUUUAUUUCACUCCAACGAGAUCAAGUACGUGGCUGCUGACAUCUGAGUGUUCGGAUUAGGCCAAGAACUACCUAUGUCGUUUCUUGACGUUCGGAUAUGACGUACCGGGUUUUAACACUCCGAUGAGUGCCAUUUCCGAUUUGACAAGGUGGAAAAAUAUGAGAAAGUAGACUUUGGAAGAAAAGCGGAUAAAAUUGAGAAGAAACGAAAAAGGCGCUCGCUGCUGGGCAAAUCGAAAAAUUUUCCAUUUUUCUUUAAAAAAUAAUUAAGAAAAUAUAUCCUCUCGAUUUGUGUGCGAUAAAACAAUAAUUGCGCUAUGAUUUAUCGAGUGACUUCAUCUCGGAUCAUGUUGACUAUUUACGAAAUGAAACCUACAUUCGUCUCUCUAUCUGCAAUUAUUUAAAAAGUGGCUCGAUCAAUCUUCGAUUUAAUCGUAUCGAUCUGAGGAAACACCAGUUCUCGAUUCACUCAACUCGCGUUGUUCCACAUGGACGAUCUAAUUGCGGUGGACGAAGAACGUGCCGUUCGCCGAAACAUUGUAUACUGCAGCAUGAGCCAAACCUGUCCCGGAGAUUUCUCGUAUACGAUUCUGUCGUCGUCGUCGUCGUCGUCAUCGUCGUUGUCGGCUUCGUCGCCGUCGUCGGAUCACUAAUAUCAUUAA
rnacentral:misc_RNA from 1 species